rnacentral:rRNA from 1 species
GAUGAACGCUGGCGGCGUGCCUAAUACAUGCAAGUCGAGCGAACAGACGAGGAGCUUGCUCCUCUGACGUUAGCGGCGGACGGGUGAGUAACACGUGGAUAACCUACCUAUAAGACUGGGAUAACUUCGGGAAACCGGAGCUAAUACCGGAUAAUAUAUUGAACCGCAUGGUUCAAUAGUGAAAGACGGUUUUGCUGUCACUCAUAGAUGGAUCCGCGCCGCAUUAGCUAGUUGGUAAGGUAACGGCUUACCAAGGCAACGAUGCGUAGCUGACCUGAGAGGGUGAUCGGCCACACUGGAACUGAGACACGGUCCAGACUCCUACGGGAGGCAGCAGUAGGGAAUCUUCCGCAAUGGGCGAAAGCCUGACGGAGCAACGCCGCGUGAGUGAUGAAGGUCUUCGGAUCGUAAAACUCUGUUAUUAGGGAAGAACAAAUGUGUAAGUAACUAUGCACGUCUUGACGGUACCUAAUCAGAAAGCCACGGCUAACUACGUG